GUGUUGUAAGGUGUGGUUUUCUAUAGAAAAUGGUAAAAUUAGUUGGGGUUCCGUUACAGCAUAGUAAGAGAGGAUAGAGAUAAAGGAGAGAGAAAGAGGGAGAGGUCUAGAGAGAAGAGAAAGAGAGGUCUAGAGAGAGAAAGGGAGAGUUUUAGAGAGAGAAAGAGAGAGGUCUAGAGAGAGAGUUUUAGAGAUAUGUGUGUCAGAAACGGAACACUUUUCUUGAUUUGCAUGAGGGUCGAAUCAAAUUAGGGGGUUGGUACGUCAGGUGUAUAAUUGGAGAGCUGUGUGUGCGGUUCCCCCCUCUCUCUCUCUCUCUCUCUCUCUCUAACUCUAUCUCUCUCCUCUCCAUCUCUUCCUCUCUCUAGAUGUCGCCUUUUUGUUUCUCUCUCUCUCUCCCACUUAUUCUUUACUCCUUUUAAAAACACCCUUUUUGCGAAUCAACGUCACGCCCUUUUCGUUCACUGGCCUUCGUAUCGGUGCCGCUGCCCUUUUCCCUCCUGCCUCUUUCUGCCCCUUUCACACGUGACCAGACCUCAGCCCAAUCCUUCUCACGUGUGACUGACAAUUUUAGCCCCUGCCUCUUGAUUUAAUUCCUAUUUUCCUUCAUCUUUUCUCUUCUUAAUGGCUUAGAUUGCUUUGGGUGCCGCGAAUCUCGUGUAAAUGGCAUUUCAGUCAUUUCACUAUUAAAAAGGGCAAGUGGUUGUACGCGAUAUGUGCGUAUAGUUUGUACGAGUUCAUCUACACCGUUUGUCUUAACAUCCUGUGGUCAAUGAACCUUGGACCAACAAAUUCUACCUGUCUAACUCAGAACCCCCUGGUCAAACUCGAAUCAAGCACUACUGUUUUUUUGGUGGUCCAGCUGAGUAUUUAAAAAAGAUAAAAAUUACAAAUCUUAAAAAAGUUCAGAGAUUUAUUUGUAAUAUGUUUUUUUAAUGUUUUUUAUCAUUUUUGCAAAAAUUAAAAAGUAUUUUAGAUGUGAAUACUUUACUGUCAUCAUUUUUAAAGCUUUUUUUCAAUUAAUUUAGGUCAAAUACACAAUCUUGGUCCGG
rnacentral:lncRNA from 1 species